rnacentral:RNase_P_RNA from 1 species
GAAGCCUGCCAGACCGCCGCUGGUGCAAGCACCGAAAGGUGGCACUGGAGGAACGUCCGGACUGCACAGGACAGCGCAGGAGCUAACGGCUCUCCACCGUGAGGUGAGGAUCAGAGCAACAGAGACGAGUCCCGGGGGCGUGCCGCAAGGCAAACCACCGGGGGUGAAACGGGCAAUCUCUGCGCGCAGCAAUGCCAAAUAGGCCAGCGAUGAUGUGGUUCCGCGGAGCUGGCGGGUAGGCAGCAUCGAGCCGCUUGGGUGACCAGCGGCCCAGAGGAAUGGCGGUCACGCCUUGGGCAACCAGGGUGCACAGAAUCCGGCGUACCGGCAGGCUUCACAC